GAUGAACGCUGGCGGCGUGCCUAAUACAUGCAAGUCGAGCGAAUGGAUUAAGAGCUUGCUCUUAUGAAGUUAGCGGCGGACGGGUGAGUAACACGUGAGUAACCUGCCCAUAAGACUGGGAUAACUCCGGGAAACCGGGGCUAAUACCGGAUAACAUUUUGAACCGCAUGGUUCGAAAUUGAAAGGCGGCUUCGGCUGUCACUUAUGGAUGGACUCGCGUCGCAUUAGCUAGUUGGGGAGGUAACGGCUCACCAAGGCAACGAUGCGUAGCCGACCUGAGAGGGUGAUCGGCCACACUGGGACUGAGACACGGCCCAGACUCCUACGGGAGGCAGCAGUAGGGAAUCUUCCGCAAUGGACGAAAGUCUGACGGAGCAACGCCGCGUGAGUGAUGAAGGCUUUCGGGUCGUAAAACUCUGUUGUUAGGGAAGAACAAGUGCUAGUUGAAUAAGCUGGCACCUUGACGGUACCUAACCAGAAAGCCACGGCUAACUACGUGCCAGCAGCCGCGGUAA
rnacentral:rRNA from 1 species